AUUGAACGCUGGCGGCAUGCCUUACACAUGCAAGUCGAACGGCAGCAUGGGAGCAAUCCUGGUGGCGAGUGGCGAACGGGUGAGUAAAGUAUCGGAACGUGCCCAGUCGUGGGGGAUAACGUAGCGAAAGUUACGCUAAUACCGCAUACGAUCUAUGGAUGAAAGCGGGGGAUCGCAAGACCUCGCGCGAUUGGAGCGGCCGAUAUCAGAUUAGGUAGUUGGUGGGGUAAAGGCUCACCAAGCCGACGAUCUGUAGCUGGUCUGAGAGGACGACCAGCCACACUGGGACUGAGACACGGCCCAGACUCCUACGGGAGGCAGCAGUGGGGAAUUUUGGACAAUGGGCGAAAGCCUGAUCCAGCCAUGCCGCGUGCAGGAUGAAGGCCUUCGGGUUGUAAACUGCUUUUGUACGGAACGAAAAGGUUUGGCCUAAUAAGCUGAGCUCAUGACGGUACCGUAAGAAUAAGCACCGGCUAACUACGUGCCAGCCGCCGCGGUAA
rnacentral:rRNA from 1 species